rnacentral:lncRNA from 1 species
CCCCAAUGACACCAUCAGUACUACUAGUAGUUCCCCCGAUAGCAGAUUAGCACCCUCAGCCCUCUUGCAUUAGAUUGGACGAUGAUCAAUUGAGAAAGUGGCUGAGAUAGUUAUUGAUGGAUUGAGACCUCAGAUAGAGUGGGUACAAUCAAAGCUCAGCAGACUUAGCACUGAGGUCAGUAAGCUAUCAGAGAAGAUGGCAGCAGGAGAGGAUAGAGAGAGAUCUAUGGAGUCAGCAGGAUUCUCAGACUUAGCUUAAGAGGUGGCAUGACAUAGGGGGAGGAUCGAGAUAGGAGUUUAGCAGAUACAUGAUGAGGUAAGAGGUCUAGGGAUAAUCUAGAAAUCUGGCACUAUAUCGCUCCUGAUCUCCAUGGGGUAGUUAGUUGAGCAACUUCAAAGAUUUGCCCCUCUAGAAAUGGCAGCGGCAACAGCAGCAGCCGCAUUGACAAUGGCCACAGCAUUAGCAGUAGUAGUAGCCAGACAUUCUUUGUCGUCACGGCUGAGCUACUUUGCAGCAUCCAAGUAUUAGAAACUAGGGAUUAAUUGAUAUGCACAGUGAAUGGAUAAAAUAAAAUUUUAAUUAAUCAUGCAGUAAAAAUAUUAAUUUUAAAUUAAUUAAUGCAUGAUAUUAUCUACU